UAGGUAACAGUAAUUACAUUAGAGACGAAACAUGAAAACAGUAAAGUGGGGUUCAGCUUUGAAUUUUCUCAAUCAUAUUUUCAUGGGGUUCCAGACUGUUAGCUAUUGGUUCACAUAACUAAUGUCUAGGCUGUUUAUUCUUUGUAGUUAGUUAUUUCUGUUACUACUGUUUCAUCAAAACAGUUAGGAUAGCUAGCUAUAUAUAAAGACCUCUCGGUCUCAGGCUAAGUGCAACAGAUUGUAUUUUUCUUUAGUUUUCACUUGAGCUGUAACUCUGUACUAAGAGAGAGCAUAGUGAGUUUCUGUAACUAAGAUUCAAUACAAGAUCAAUAAAGUGACUAUUCAAAACCAGUUUCUGGUUUGGUGCAUCUUCCUUUGUGUUCUGUUUUUCUUCUUCCUAAACUAUUGAGAUUUGUUUCUAGUUCUUGUAACUGUGUUCUGUUUCUACUUUGUACUACACAGACUUAACUAAUAUGAUAUGUGUAGCCCAAAAUAGCUAAUUUUGAAGAAGUUGGUGAGCAUCAAAAAUGGAUUCUGAAAGUCUUAGACGUAUGUUUACCGUACUACACUUACUGUUCAUGUUCUUCUUGGCUCCAUUCAAAUCCAAAGCCCAAGCUGGUACUACUCUUCCACAGUAUGAAGUGGAAGCCAUUGGAGAAAUGGCUGAACAAUUGAACAAGAAAGACUGCAAAUCCACUACUGAUAUCCCAGGUACAGAUCAGUACAGCAAUGUUAUCAUCUGCAAAUGCUCCGUCUCUGCUACUGAGUGCCAUAUCCAAACCAUGUAAACUCCUCCCUUCCCUUCCCUUGCUCACUAUGGAAGCUACCUUACCUUAAGGAAGUGUAUGCAAAACCCUUUUAUUCCCCAUCAUAGCUCAUUCAAAUACUUUCAAGAUGCUAAUAGUAGCCUUCUUCUACCUUUUAGUAAUUUAAGCUGGAACUUCCUCAGUGGUUCAAUACCGCCAGAAUGGGCUUCAACAAAGUUGGAACGACUGCUCAUUAGUGUCAACAAUUUAGCAGGGCCAAUCCCUGGCUAUUUAGGAAACAUAACACACAGUUAAGCAACUUUCUUCCAAAUCAAAGCAAGGGAAUCGUGAAUUCAUAAAUGAAAUAGGCAUGGUUUCUGCUUUACAACACCCAAAUCUUGUCAAAUUACAUGGAUGUUGUAUUGAAGGAAAACAAUUGUUGUUGGUAUAUGAAUAUAUGGAGAACAGUAGCCUUGCUCAUUCUUUA